UACGUAGGGUGCAAGCGUUGUCCGGAAUUAUUGGGCGUAAAGAGCUCGUAGGCGGUUUGUCGCGUCUGCUGUGAAAAAUCCAGGGCUUAACCCUGGACCUGCAGUGGGUACGGGGCAGACUAGAGUGCGGUAGGGGAGAUCGGAAUUCCUGGUGUAGCGGUGAAAUGCGCAGAUAUCGGGAGGAACACCAGUGGCGAAGGCGACUACCUGGCCCAUUCUUGACGCUGAGGCGCGAAAGCUAGGGGAGCGAACGGG
rnacentral:rRNA from 1 species